AAAGCAUCUCUCGCAUGGGGGCUUGUAAUGUGAGGCAACGUCAAGUUAGCAAUACAUGUGCCUUCAUAAAGAUGCAUCCAUUAGUAGUUAUUUUACUCACAUACAGACAAGUUUGACUACACGACAUGGUGUCAGAAGCGGGAUAGAACGAGUGUAUUUACUUACAGAGUUUAGCUUACAGUACCUGGUUGAAAAGUUUUGGGAAGAAAAUCGAGGAGGCUAAUCAGCAUGGAAGACGUUGCGGGAGAAGCGCAGAAGCCACCGGUGACAGUGGGAAGAGGCCAGCCUCCCGUGCAAGGUGCAGCCGGAGGGGCACAGAUACUCGCUCAUACAGGCCCAAGUGCUACAUUUAGCAUACAGCCGUUAGAUUUUUCUAAACCUCAAGAAUGGACCAGAUGGAUUAGGAGGUUUGAGCGCUUUUGUCAGGCGAUUAAUCUUCACACAUCUACGGAGGAGAACCAGGUGAACACUCUCAUGUACUGUAAUGGGCGACGAAGCACAUUACGUUUUGAGGGGUCUAAACCUAAACGAACUCUAGCAAAAACAUUAUGGACAAAUAAGAGACGGAUCUCAUGCAUUCUUUAUUGUUAAAAAGAACGUGAUGUAUGAGAGGGACGCUUUAAUGUGCGGAGACAGGGGGAAAAUGAAACGGUAGAUUAUUGUGUCACAGUUUUAUAUGCCCUAGCAGAGUAUUGCAACCAGAGCCGGUCCUGACCUCCCUGGGGCCCUAAGCAAAAUUCUGCUAAGGGGCCCUCCUACGUGACCCGUGAGCCAUGUAAACCAUUUACCAUUGCCACACAGUCACACCUGACACCUCAGUGCUCCCACGUCAAUCCUCCCUCCUUUAAAACAGUUUGCUCCAUCUGUCUGUCUAAGAAUAAGUAGACCAAUACAGAACAGAAUGAGGCACAAACAAAAUAUUUAUUGAAUAAAAUAUUUUCUAUAGAAUCAUAAAUUAUGAUAAUAUUCACUUAACAUUAACAUAAGAAAUUGUAGAAAAUAUAAAAUGUAGGAAAUAAUCAAAUAUAACACUUCGCUUUGGCUCUGCCUGAUAUUUAGUCCAGUCCUCACAAUAUUAGCUUUGUCUAUACAAUGUCAACAUAAGCCUAUAGGCUAUGUCUGCAGCUGCACUACCGUUCAAAAGUUUGGGGUCACUUAGAAAUGUCCUUUUAUUUAUUUAAGCAACAACAACAAAAAAUCCAUUAAAGUAACAUCAAAUUGAUCAGAAAUACAGUGUAGACAUUGUUAAUGUUGUAAAUGACUAUUGUAGCUGGAAAAGGCAGAUCUACGUAGGUGUACUGGGGCCAAUUAUCAGCAACCAUCACUUCUGUGUUCCAAUGGUACGUUGUGUUAGCUAAUCCAAGUUUUUUAAUUUUAAAAGGCCAAUUGAUCAUUAGAAAACCAUUUUGCAAUUAUGUUAGCACAGCUGAAAACUGUUGUUCUGAUUUAAAGAAUCAAUAAAACUGGCCUCUUUAGACUAGUUGAGUAUCUGGAGCAUCAGCAUUUGGGGGUUCGAUUGCAGGCUCAAAAUGGCCAGAAACAAAGACCUUUCCAAUAAAACUCAUCAGUCUAUUGUUCUGAGAAAGGAAGGCUAUUCCAUGCGAGAAGUUGCCAAGAAACUGAAGAUCUCGUACAACGCUGUGUACUACUCCCGUCACAGAACAGCGCAAACUGGCCUUAUGUAAAUAUUACAGUGGGAUCCUUCGAUUAUCAUGAAAAAAUGUGACAAAGAGGAGGAAUUUGUAUACAAAACAAAUGUGACUAUGUGAAUGAAUAUCGCCGACAACUAUCUAAAGGUGACUUCUAUCGCAAACUGAAUAAUGACCCUAGAAUUUCAGCAUAUUAUCUCAUCUACAGUGGAAAGCUGUUUGGAAUCAGGACAAAUCACCCAAAAAUUAUGUGAAUUUCUAUGUGUGAAAUUUCCUAAGAUACCAACUUGUUAUACAGUUGCAAAAUUACACAAACAAGUGUCUUCUCCCGCAGGUAGCCCAUUGUAGCAGCAAUUGACUCUGUGACAGCCAACAUUUCUAAGUUUGUGGAUCACCACAUUAAACUGAUGGUUGAGAAUCUCCCAUCCUUAUGUCAAAGACACUAGUCACAUGAUCUCAUUGAUAGAGAGAUUAGAAGGAUACCAGAGGGCACCCUGCUGGCCACUUUUUAUGUGGAGAACUUGUACACUAACGUCCCACAUACUGAGGCUUGCAGGCGCUGCAACACUUCCUUCAGCAGAGACUACCCUUGCUCCAUCCAAUGAUUGCAUCUUACAAUUUACUGAACUGGUAUUAUCCAAAAACGACUUUGUCUUUGAAUCAGACUUUUUCCUUCAAAGCCUACGUAGGACAAACGAAAAGACAAUUAAAACAAUGCAUAGCUGAACACCGCAGCUCAAUCAGGUGUAAGAACAUUGACUAUCCAGUAGCAGCUCACUUUGUUGAAGCUAACCAUCCCAUCUCCUCCCUCAAAUACACAGGCAUUGAGCAUGUUGCUCUACCAAGGAGAGGAGGAAACCUCGGGAUCCUACUAUUACAAAGGGAGGCUUACUGGAUAUUCUAUCUAAAAACAUUGACCCCUAGUGGUCUGAAUAUUGACUUUGAUUUCAGGCCCUUCUUAUGAACAAUUCUCUCUCUUAUGAGCAAGUUGGAUAAAUGAGCUGUAUAGACCCUCACUCCUCAUCACACAAACCAACAACAGUCACACCACUCUGUCCUGUUCUGCUACUGGACGACCUGUUCCUAUAGUAACCUGGGACAACACAGAAAUUCUAGAAAAUUCCACAAUGAUCAAUGUCACCCAUCUCAAUGGUACUGUCACUGUCAUCAUAACUUCCACGCUGGCAGCAUUCAGACUACCUGACAAAGACACCAGGGUUGGCUGUGUGGUGUCACUGUUCUCUGGAGGUGUCACCAAGAACGUUUCCAUGGUUAUUCCAGCUAGAACUCAAGCUUCAUUUCCUGGUGAGAAAUGGUUCAGUACAUGUCUACAGUAACAACCAACAUGCUGGUGUCAUUCUGAAGUACUGUCUCUGUAUGUUCUGUGCUAGGUGUACCUGAGGUCACUGAUGGUGACAGGAUCAGUGGUCAGGCAUUAAUAUAAUGACCACAACUAAUCUCUGACUCUUAUCUGUGAAUUGUACCAUUCUCAUCUUGUCAUCUUUCACAGUUAAGCCAACAGGGAUUGUUGCAGUGAUGGGUUCACUGUGUUUCAUUGCUGUGUGCUGUGGAGCUGCUGUGGUACUGUGGUGCAAACUGAGAAAUAAAAUGAGAAGGUAGGUUUUACUGUUCAGAUGACAAAGAGAAAUUACAGUAUUACUUUGACAUUAAUUGUCAAACUUACCAAAACUGUCUUUAGCCCAAAUUCCCACAGUCCAUAACAUAGAACAGGAAGAACUAUCAACACUCAACCCUCAACAUGAUGACUGAAAUCCACAGGUCUAGUAAGACACAUAUUCAAAUGAGUUGCAUUCCUGCAUUGUUGUUCUGAUGUUACUCAUGUCACUUACAUACUUCAUAAAACAAAUAUGUGAAUUACCCUUAUUUAUACGGAACAAUAUGUUAAUUACCAUUCAUAGAGAACAAUAUGUCAAUUACCCUCUUUACACACAACAAUAUGUUAAUUACCCUCUUUAUACACAACAAUAUGUUAAUUACCCUCUUUAUACAGAGAUUUUGUUUUAAUUACCCUCUUUAUACAGAACAAUAUGUUAAUUACCGUCUUUAUACAGAACAAUAUGUUAAUUACCCUCUUUAUACAGAUAUUUUGUCUUAAUUACCCUCUUUAUACAGAACAAUAUGUUAAUUACCCUCUUUAUACAGAACAAUAUGUUAAUGACUCUCUUUAUACAGAACAAUAUGAAAACGUUUCUAAAGGAUGACUGAGUGACUAUCAUACUGUCACACACACAUCUGUGGCACGGAGACAGUUGAGUUGUCUCGGACAGAUACUGACAGAUACUGAUUAGCUGACUGAACGGUUAAUGACACACACGUAGUCCUGCGGGUUAUUGUAUAAAUAUGUUCAUAUGUAGCCUAUGUAAAUAUAUUAGCAGUUUGGUCAUGAAGAACCCCUAGAAGUGUAUGCUUCAUUCUUAUGUUUGUUAUAAAUCUAGGUGUUGUAAUAUUGUAGCCUACACAAUGUCAUCAUAAUGUACUCUGUGGUGUGUUUUGUGUGCGUUUUCGUUUCAUUAUUUAAUCACUUUAUAAAUCAAAUGCUGUAACAAUGUUGUAAUUUAUGGAAUUGUCAUAAAUCUGCUGCUGGC
rnacentral:lncRNA from 1 species